ensembl:lncRNA
CAAGGGUAUUUUGCUGGAGUUUCCUCUGUACCUGAGGCCUUCUGAAGGUUGUGAAAAAUGGGACUUCGGUAACAAUGACGGAUUGGCCUACCUCAGUUUUGGCUAUGAGAGUAACAGAUUUUUUUUUCUUAUGUUCAGCCGCAAGUGUUACAGCAUCCUUUAGGACCUCAAUUACGUUUGCUAUUCUUAGAAGCUCCUCCCAUGGAAAGUACGCUUGGAAAAAAAAGAUAGGAAAGGAACCCCAUAUCAAAAGGUUUCAUGCCUUCUGUUUAUCCCAUCUCAACACAAUUCAUGUUGAAAACAACAACAACAAAACAAAGGUUUGGGGAAAAAGUAAAACCACAAUGUGUAUACAUGUUUACUUGGAUGCUAUUUUACGUACUGUCUUUCUACGUCAGCAGA